rnacentral:rRNA from 1 species
UACGUAGGGUGCGAGCGUUGUCCGGAAUUAUUGGGCGUAAAGAGCUUGUAGGUGACUCGUUGCGUCGGGAGUGAAAACCUGCGGCUUAACCGCAGGCCUGCUUCCGAUACGGGCGAGCUAGAGUUCGGCAGGGGAGACUGGAAUUCCUGGUGUAGCGGUGGAAUGCGCAGAUAUCAGGAGGAACACCGGUGGCGAAGGCGGGUCUCUGGGCCGAUACUGACACUGAGAAGCGAAAGCGUGGGGAGCGAACAGG